rnacentral:lncRNA from 1 species
CGUGCUUCGUUUGUUUAGCGUGCGACGCUCCAUCUCAUAACUGAUUUUCGGACGCAAUAUGCUUCUUGGUGGGACAUAUUGCCAACAUGCUGGAACCGCAAACUUGUUGGUAACUGUACUCAGAAGAUACCAUCAUGGUACUAUAGUUACUGGAGUGGGAGAUGCAAAGGCUUCCUCUACAGUGGAUGCGGCGGCAACACCAACCGAUUCCCUACGGAAGGGGAAUGCCAAACUGCUUGCACAAGCCGCGUUCGACCUAGAGAAGUUUGUAGCUUGAAGCUGAAAGCUGGACUUUGCCAUGAAUUUCGGCCGUCAUGGUAUUAUGACGUCGAGCACGACCGAUGCCGUGGUUUCAUAUACAGCGGCUGUGAUGGGAAUUUGAACAGAUUUCCAAGCUGCGAGAAGUGUAUGAAACGGUGCAGCGGUAAGUCAUUGAAA